AACGAACGCUGGCGGCAGGCUUAACACAUGCAAGUCGAACGGGUGUAGCAAUACAUCAGUGGCAGACGGGUGAGUAACACGUGGGAACCUUCCUAGGGGUACGGAACAACUCAGGGAAACUUGAGCUAAUACCGUAUACGUCCGUAAGGAGAAAGAUUCAUCGCCCCUAGACGGGCCCGCGUCGGAUUAGGUAGUUGGUGGGGUAACGGCCUACCAAGCCUACCGAUCCGUAGCUGAUCUGAGAGGANGAUCAGCCACACUGGGACUGAGACACCGGCCCAGACUCCUACGGGAGGCAGCAGGUGGGGAAUCUUGGACAAUGGGCGGCAAGCCUGAUCCAGCCAUGCCGCGUGAGUGAA
rnacentral:rRNA from 1 species